rnacentral:lncRNA from 1 species
GGGUACUGGAGUCAACUUACCAGCUGGAAAUUUCUCACGGGUGGAGAAAUUUCCUACACAGGCUCUUCUGUGUCAGGGCAGAUUCUCCUCCCAGACCCAGCUGCUGAGCUGAAUGCCACUAAGAAUAAUUACCAAAGAACUGCUGAAGAGGUUGCACAGAGUCUGGGGUGAAGCAGAUGGAAUCCAAAAGGCUCCAAGGACAAAAAUUAU